rnacentral:lncRNA from 1 species
GUGUUAUUAUGUUGUUAUAUAUGAUGGGGUGACGUAGACAAUCUUUUACUUCUUUUCCUUAUUUAUAACUGUUUCAGGUUCACUUGGAUUGUAUAGCAAUUAGGCAGCAAAACUGUUUUUACUACCCUUACUAAAGUUAUUCUCCCUUUUUUUUCCCUCAGACUAUGUUGGAUUGUGUGAUUUUAGUCAAAAUUAAAGUUGCAUCCUUAACUUAUUGGUUGUAA